ensembl:lncRNA novel transcript
ACUCCGAACUAGGAUGCGUCAGAGGACUAGACGCAAGUUCCCGGGAAGGGGAAUCCUCUGAUCACGCCGCCCCCAAAGUAUCGUCGAUCAUGGUGCUGUUCGACUGCUUUGUUCUCGUUUGCCUCAUCAGGAACUGAAGAGAACCUACCCGGCCAGCGCGGGGAGGAGGAAAGCCUGCAAGGCUUGGUGCAUUCAAACAAGCCCUCCACCUCUGUCUCCCUCCUUCCAAACCACCACCCACUAACUCCACUGACGAGAGUUCAGCAAACUAAACUGCCAAGGCUCAGCACCGAAAGACUCUUUAGGAGCAUAGGGCUCCUUCUAGGAGCAAGUAAGGAGCAAGGAAAGGACACUGGAAAUUCGGAUGCGGACUCAAACAGCACAACACUGCAGGUGCCUGGCCCCUCUAGGAUCCGAAGCUACGUUCCUUUCCUAACAGGGCUAAAAUGAAGGCCAGUUCUGGAAGAGCCUUCCCCCUCUUCUCCAUGGAGCACAUCCUCCAUCAUGAGGUCUUCAGCUGGACUCCCCACUCUCGCUGCCGUCAAUGACCUGCGCUCCAGCUCCCUGCCUCUUCCCUGGCUGGGGCCUCCGCCGACUCGCACCUGGACCACCCGCAAGGACUUCAACUUCUCAGGCUCCUGGAGUCAUUUCUCAACAUCUUGUAUAGGCCAGGCGCGGUGGCUCAUACCUGUAAUCCCAGCACUUUGGGGAGGCCGAGGUGGGCAGAUCACAAGGUCAAGAGAUUGAGACCAUCCUGGCCAACAUGGUGAAACCCCGUCUCUACUAAAAAUACAAAAAUUAGCUGAGUGUGGCAGCACAUGCCUGUAGUCCCAGCUACUCAGGAGGCUGAGGCAGGAGAAUCACUUGAACCCGGGAGGUGGAGGUUGCAGUGAGCUGAGAUCGCACCAUGACACUCCAGCCUGGCAACAGAGGAAGACUCCAUCUCAAAAAACAAAAACAGAACAAAACAAAAAAGCUUAUAUAUUCUUUGAUAUUUUUAAGGUACAGAAUAUAUGUGAUUAAAGACAAUUUCACUUUUUCUUUUCCAAUGGUUACAUCUUCUACAUAAACUUUUUCAUGCCUUAUUGCUCUAGCUAGGCCCUUUCAUAAAAGUGAUGACACCGGGCAUCAUUGUCUAACUCUCAAAUUUGGGGAAUGGGGCAUCUUCAUACUGUUAUGUAUGAUGUUAACUGUAAACGUGGUAAUAAUGAACAGCAUGUCUUAGUCAUAACUUCAGAGGGAAAGCACUCUUACUAAUAAGUAUGAUGCUAACCAUAGGUGUAUAGGGGAGGAAAAAUAAGUUCCCUUCUACCCUUCUAAAAUGUUUGGCUGGGGCUUCUGAAACAAAAUACAGAUUAACAAGAGAAAACCAAACAAGUUUAUUAACAUGUAUAUCUUACAUAUGCCUGGAGGAUACCCAGAAAAUAAGUAAUUCUCACAGAGAUAGCUUCAAACUCCAUCUUAUACAACAUCUUCAACAAAGAAUAAUAAAUUUUUAGAGAAGUGACAAGACAAAAGAAAAGGACUUUGAGUCUCCUACAAUUUAGGAAAUUGUAGGAAGCCAAAUAUACAGGAAACUAAUGGUAGAUAAAUGCUAGUUAAGCAUGUUAUGUAGAUGUUCUGCUGCUGUCUCCAGGCUGAUAAGGGUCUAAAGUCAUUUCUAUCUGGUGAUUUACUUUUAGCGUUCUUGGUUGAGAGUGGAGGGGAGACUUUCAUGUAUAUGUAUGCCCUGGUUUUAGGAAAAUAGGGAAAGGACAGAGAGUUUUUCUUGUAUCUGCUUUUCCCCAAUUGUCUUUAGCUCAAGAUAAGCCUUAUGCCAAAGUGGCAUAUUUUGGGGAGAUAUUUCUAAUCUUUAUAUUUAAAAGCUUCCCUCUUCUGUUAGAUUGCUAUGAAAUAUAUAAUAAAUGGGUGUUAAAUUUUGUCAUUUUUUUGCAUCUACUGAGAUGACCAUAUGUAUUUUUUUCUUUCAUUUGAUUAAUAUAGAAAAUUACCUUGAAUGACUUUUGAAUGUUAAACC